UUUAUGUUAUGAUUUAGUCCCUUAUAAAAUUGGAAAGAUACAGAUGGGAUUAGUAUGGCUCCUGCAUACAGAUGACACGCACAAAGCCAUAAAUAUUAUGGUUAAUU